GAGGGUGUAGCUCAGUGCUAAGAGUGCAUGCUUAGCAUGCACGAGGUCCUGGGUUCAAUCCCCAGUACCUCCA
rnacentral:tRNA from 1 species